rfam:Cephalotus follicularis DNA, scaffold: scaffold5415, isolate: St1.
ACGACAUGAUGGGGACAUUUUCUGAUGAUGUCCUUUAAUCUUUCCCAUGCCUCAUGGAACUGCUCACCAUCUUGUUGUGAGAAGCUAGUGAUAGCUCACCUUAUCUG